rnacentral:rRNA from 1 species
UACGGGGGGAGCAAGCGUUGUUCGGAUUUACUGGGCGUAAAGGGCGCGUAGGCGGCCAGUGCAAGUCAGUUGUGAAAUCUCCGAGCUUAACCCGGAAAGGUCAACUGAUACUGCGGGGCUAGAGUGCAGAAGGGGCAACUGGAAUUCUCGGUGUAGCGGUGAAAUGCGUAGAUAUCGAGAGGAACACCUGCGGCGAAGGCGGGUUGCUGGGCUGACACUGACGCUGAACUGCGAAAGCUAGGGGAGCGAACGGG